AAACGUUUUGUUUUGUCUGACAGCACUAGUAUUUAUGAAUAUAAAUAUGCAAAAGUACAUUGCAAGUACACUAAUGUAAACUUUUUUUGCCUUACCAUAAAAUCAGUUCAACCUGCCACAAAUGCUGUUGAUAGAGCUUAAUGUACUGAGCAAUGAACAAUUCUUGGAGCCAAAAUGUGUGCCUGGAUGGGACUGUAUACGGUUAUUGUACCAGGUUAUAUGUGACGGUUGAUAUCAUUAGAAAAACCCCUAGUGUUUUAUUCAACGAUUAUUCAAAUGGGUGUGGUGACAACAGUAUAUCCUCCUUUGUGUUCGUUUUGGCAACAUUUUAUUCUAAAAUCUGGACAAUUGUUUAAGGAAUUUGCUUGCAAAGCAGCAAAACAAUUUAAAUCUGUGAGGUUUGUUUUUGAAGUUACUGGCAUUACUUUAAUAGCAUCUGUCUAGUCUGUAACAUUUCUAGCCAUAGUGUUUUGAUAUUCCUUUGUUUGAAUAUAGUGUUUUGUUGAACAAAAUUAUUUAGCUUUAUCUUUAGGUGCAUUUUUUGUAGUAUUUAUUUUUAUGACUUUUUGUUAUAUUAGAAUAGAAAGAUUAUCAUGUAGACGUUCUUCAGUUUACAAUUCAUAGUUGUCCUGUUUAUUUUUAACAGCAUUGUCCUUCUUACCUCAGUGUCUUUAAUAAACCAUUCCACCAAAAAAAAUCACAAAUAUCAGCUUCAUUGAUAUUAAAAGUCUGCGCUCGUCGAAAAAUAUGAAAAGACAUGAAACUCACUGAUCAUAACGUACAUUUUCCCCAGUUCCCGUAGUUAAACAGUGCCGUGUGCAGCUGCUGUACAAGGUCAAUAAAAUAUAUCAGAAAAUACAUGCAGAGAGCCAGCUGGCCUCCAGAUGCAGUCGCACCCCUGUGAAAGUGGGACACCUAGGGUUAAUCCAGACCCUUUCAGGAAUUCCCUGCCCUCUCCUUUGAUUCCAGCUCGGAGAUUAAACGUCCAAAUGUGCCAGCCGUCAUGUUUUUCUCCAUAUGCCCUUGCCAGAUCUUGUUCGAUCUGUGAUCCGCAUCGAGUGGGGCCUUCAACAUGAGUGAAUAGCACUUCAAUAUGAAGAUGACGUGAACGUUUGCCUGGGUAUAAAGUUACGUUUUCCCCUCUUCAUCUGUUUACCUAUAUUCCUAUGGGAUCACUUGAAUUAUUUUGAUUGAGACACAAGACUAGCCUUAUAUCUUUAUUAAAUGUGCCAGAACAAUUUCAAUACAAAGGGUGCUCAACUUGUAGCAUUCAGUCAAUCACGUAACCGUGUAUGUGUAUGAUAAAUGAUGCUUGUAAAUGUUUCUGCCAACUGUUUUUUUUCCUUCAGCAGUGUCUUUUAACACAGGCUUUAUUAAUACUGACAGACAGGGAAGCGGCUUUUUGUACCACCUGGUUCGAGCCUCGGCCCGUUUGACCUUCUCUCCAGUGCUGAAAAUGCAAACCACCGUAAAGAUAUUAAAAUCUGAGAUAUAGGGCAUUACCUCAGAUGUGAGGGUUUUGAAAUGAAGAGAUCACAUGGAUAGAGGGGUAUCAUACAUCAAAUGCUACAGCCUGGCAUGUUCACAUCAAAGAGACGCAUCUGUUUCAUGACAUGAUGAGGACCCAGUCCCAUGAGGCAGCGAGGAGGAGGACAUGACAGUCCUCAUCUUGUCCUCGUUCACCGUCUGAGUGUCUUCACACUGUAUGGCAGCGCUCCAACCUCACGCCACCUACCUGGGUAAGUGAAAGUGAUCUUUGUCAUUAUGAAAGACUCCGUCGUCUCAGUAUCAGACGGCACGCCUAAAGGCUGUUCACAAACCAUAUGAUGCAUAUUGUAUGUUUAAAUGACAGGAGCUGUUCAAAUCUGCCAUUUCCAAGAGUCAAGUGGUUACCCAGUUGUAAGUAAA